rnacentral:rRNA from 1 species
GACGAGUCUCACAAACGUUAUUCGGAAUUACUGGGCUUAAAGGGUGCGUAGGCGGUGAAGUAAGUCGGGUGUGAAAUACCAUAGCUUAACUAUGGAACUGCACUCGAUACUACUUUGCUAGAGUAAGACAGAGGUGAGUGGAACUGAGGGUGGAGCGGUGAAAUGCGUUGAUAUCCUCAGGAACACCGGUGGCGAAGGCGACUCACUGGGUCUUUACUGACGCUGAUGCACGAAAGCUAGGGGAGCAAACGGG